rnacentral:lncRNA from 1 species
AAUUCCACUGUUAGGCUUUCACAAGGGGCAUGAGGUCUUAGGGUGGGUAGCCAUCCUAGGCGAGUGAGAUUAGAGGAGAUCUUCCUCCUCUUGGGUGAGUGAAAACCUAGAUCUGAUUCUAAAGUUUUGAGAAAAGAGAAAAGAGAGGAGAGUUCUCAUCUUUGUCUUCUUCCAUCACCACAUCCUCCUUCAUGUUCCAUCUUCAGAUCCAAAAGAGUCUGAAAGAUCUGAAGAGAGGAGUAGAUAGCCAUCUAGAAGGUCUUCAUACGAGCCAGCACUCCCAGAG